rnacentral:rRNA from 1 species
UACAGAGGGUGCGAGCGUUAAUCGGAAUUACUGGGCGUAAAGCGUGCGUAGACGGUUAUCUAAGUCGGGUGUGAAAGCCCCGGGCUCAACCUGGGAAUUGCAUUCGAGACUGAAUAGCUAGGGUACGGUAGAGGGAAGUGGAAUUUCCGGUGUAGCGGUGAAAUGCGUAGAUAUCGGAAGGAACACCAGUGGCGAAAGCGGCUUCCUGGUCCAGCACCGACGUUCAGGCACGAAAGCGUGGGGAGCAAACAGG